rnacentral:rRNA from 1 species
GGACAGAAAGACCCUAUGAAGCUUUACUGUAGUUUGGAAUUGGGUUCGGGCUCUUCUUGCGCAGCCUAGGUGGGAGGCUAUGAAGAUAAACUUUUGGGUUUAUCGGAGCCAACAGUGAGAGACCACUCUAGAGGAGCUAGAAUUCUAAUGGCGUUCCUUGAAGCAGGACGCUUGACAGUUUCAGAUGGGCAGUUUGACUGGGGCGGUCACCUCCUAAAAGGUAACGGAGGUGUGCAAAGGUUCCCUCAGGCUGGACGGAAAUCAGCCGUAGAGUGUAAAGGCAGAAGGGAGCUUGACUGCAAGACCUACAAGUCGAGCAGGGGCGAAAGCCGGCCUUAGUGAUCCGACGGUUCCGAGUGGAAGGGCCGUCGCUAAACGGAUAAAAGUUACUCUAGGGAUAACAGGCUGA